CAGCCGCCGCGGUAAUGCGAAGGGGGCUAGCGUUGUUCGGAAUUACUGGGCGUAAAGGGCGCGUAGGCGGCCAUUCAAGUUAGAUGUGAAAGCCCUGGGCUCAACCUAGGAAUUGCAUUUGAUACUGUUUGGCUUGAGUUCGGGAGAGGUGAGUGGAAUUCCCAGUGUAGAGGUGAAAUUCGUAGAUAUUGGGAAGAACACCGGUGGCGAAGGCGGCGACCUGGUCCUUGACUGACGCUGAGGAGCGAAAGCGUGGGGAGCGAACAGGAUUAGAGACCCCCGUAGUCCCUGUCUCUUAUAA
rnacentral:rRNA from 1 species